UUGCGCGCACUUAUCGCUGCGUGUCUCGCGCAUGGCGCCUCUUCAGACCGUGAUAUGCCAUUGAUGUUGUACACACAAAGAGAUAUGUCCAUCUGUUAAACACACUGUUUUUAUUCUUCACAAGAGGACUGGCUAUUAAUGACUCAAUUGAUACGCUCGCGUGCAAAGAAGCGCUUCUACAUCAAGAUGACCAGCUGUUACAUUAAAAUAGCCGGUACAUGGCAUUAAUGUAUAGUAAAUAAAUAUCAAAUAAAUAUCAAAUAAA